rnacentral:rRNA from 1 species
CCUACGGGAGGCAGCAGUGAGGGAUAUUGCGCAAUGGGCGAAAGCCUGACGCAGCGACGCCGCGUGGGCGAGGAAGGCCUUCGGGUUGUAAAGCCCUUUUGGCAGGGAAGAGCAAGGACUGUACCUGCAGAACAAGUCACGGCUAACUACGUGCCAGCAGCCGCGGUAAAACGUAGGUGGCAAGCGUUAUCCGGAUUCACUGGGCGUAAAGAGCGCGUAGGCGGUGUGCUAAGUUGGACGUGAAAGCCCCCGGCUUAACCGGGGGAGGUCUUCCAAUACUGGUGCACUUGAGGGUGGACGGGGAAAGCGGAAUUCCCGGUGUAGGGGUAAAAUGCGUAGAUAUCGGGAGGAACACCAGUGGCGAAGGCGGCUUUCUAGACCACUCCUGACGCUGAGGCGCGAAAGCGGGGGGAGCGAACGGGAUUAGAUACCCCUGUAGU